rnacentral:rRNA from 1 species
GACGAACGCUGGCGGCGUGCUUAACACAUGCAAGUCGAACGGAAAGGCCCUGCUUGCAGGGUACUCGAGUGGCGAACGGGUGAGUAACACGUGGGUGAUCUGCCCUGCACUUCGGGAUAAGCUUGGGAAACUGGGUCUAAUACCGGAUAGGAGCCAUCUUUAGUGUGGUGGUUGGAAAGUUUUUUCGGUGUAGGAUGAGCUCGCGGCCUAUCAGCUUGUUGGUGGGGUAAUGGCCUACCAAGGCGGCGACGGGUAGCCGGCCUGAGAGGGUGUACGGCCACAUUGGGACUGAGAUCCGGCCCAGACUCCUACGGGAGGCAGCAGUGGGGAAUAUUGCACAAUGGGCGCAAGCCUGAUGCAGCGACGCCGCGUGGGGGAUGAAGGCCUUCGGGUUGUAAACUCCUUUCGCUAGGGACGAAGCUUUUUUGUGACGGUACCUAGAGAAGAAGCACCGGCUAACUACGUG